rnacentral:lncRNA from 1 species
UUUUUAGACACAGGGUCUCACUAUGUUGCCCAGGCUGGUCUUAAAGGAAUCCUCCCUCUGUGACCUCCCAAAGUGUUGGGAUUACAGGCGUGAGCCACCUCACCCGACCAUAGACCAUCUGUUUCCAGGCCUGAGCUCGAUAAGAAGCCCAGUGCUACAUUUUCAAAGACCUGAGUGGCCACUGAGAGAAUAUCCAAAGACAAUUUAAAUCAGACUGUGGAUGCAAUUAUCACGCGCCCGAUGAUGUGCCUCAUUUUCUAUACAGAGGCCCUUUUCAGGAGAUGCUGUACCUCCAGAUCAUAAAAUCAGGUAGAUGACCUCUGCAGAUCUGGCUGUUCCCAGGAGGGCUGAGCGCAGCAGUCAGAAGCUGGCACGGAAGGGAGAAGGAGGCCGAUGGGAACAGCACUGACAACAGCCCGUGACAGGGCCGGCCCUUCUGUCUGCACCAGCCCAGCACGCCGGGCUGCACAGCAGAUUCUCCAACGCGUCUUCCAGACCUCAGCUUCCACACUGUGACGGUUAGCAAGGCUGACGGGCGUGGACGGCGAGGGGUCGGGAAGAGUGAGAACGUUUAGGAUCAUGCAUGUCUAAUUUUAUUGAAGCAGGGGCCCAUCUAGCUGUGCGGCUGAUUCCAUAUGUCAGGCAGGGCGGCGUGUAAACGGCCCUGAAGUUGCGCCGUCUGUCUGUGUGAACAGGAGCUGCUUCCUCCGCAGGACUCCAGCUGCUGUCCGUGGCCGGGCCAUGCGAUGGAAAUGGAAACAGCAGAGUAAGGCGGUGCUGAUGUGUGUGCCCGAUUUCUCCUCGGGAGGAAAGCCCUCUUGGUGUUGAAGUGAUAUUAGUGUAGUCGCCAUUCUCUGCAACCACCAAGGGCCUGCUGGAUGACUCCUGCUGUCAGUCUUGAAUCCAUGCUCUGUCACGAUGGUAUGCAGAGAAACAGCUCUGCCCAGCCGCGCGGAGAGCAUGCAGCCUGGAGAAUGUUUCUGAAAUCCAGAUUCUCAGAUCAGGUUCUGAGCUGGGGAAAGCCCCGUGUCUCUGGACAGCUCUGGUUUCCAGAGUGAAUAACCCAUCUCCUGUUGGCAGAGACAGCGGUCUGAGUGGGCUUAUUCCUUAGCCGGCAAGCCUUUGGCUUUUCCCGGCUGUCCUGGAGCUGCAGAGCCUUCAGCCGGCCUCUCCGAACGAGUGGUCGCUGGAUCCCGGUUCCUGCUCCACCAGCAGCGACUUUGGAGGCAUUCCUUAGCAGAGGGACUGCGCUGAUUCCAGACAAGGGAAUACACCCUGUGAGACUGACGCUCCUCACUUCCUCAGUCACCACAGAAAACACAGGGAAGAGAGCACCAAAUAAAAUGACGCCACCGAUGACACUGCCAUACAAAUCCAGAAUGUGGGCAUUUCGUGAGACAUUGUCCUGGCCUCUUCUAACGUCAUAAUCAAAAG